UAGGGAAUCUUCGGCAAUGGACGAAAGUCUGACCGAGCAACGCCGCGUGAGUGAAGAAGGUUUUCGGAUCGUAAAACUCUGUUGUUAGAGAAGAACAAGGACGUUAGUAACUGAACGUCCCCUGACGGUAUCUAACCAGAAAGCCAGGGCUAACUACGUGCCAGCAGCCGCGGUAAUACGUAGGUGGCAAGCGGUGUCCGGAUUUAUUGGGCGUAAAGCGAGCGCAGGCGGUUUCUUAAGUCUGAUGUGAAAGCCCCCGGCUCAACCGGGGAGGGUCAUUGGAAACUAGUAGACUUGAGUGCAGAAGAGGAGAGUGGAAUUCCAUGUGUAGCGGUGAGAUGCGUAGAUAUAUGGAGGAACACCAGUGGCGGAGGCGGCUCUCUGGUCUGUAACUGGCGCUGAGGCACGGAAGCGUGGGGAGCAAACAGG
rnacentral:rRNA from 1 species